rnacentral:rRNA from 1 species
AUUCCAGCUCCAAUAGCGUAUAUUAAAGUUGUUGCAGUUAAAAAGCUCGUAGUUGGACUUCUGGCAGGGCGCCGCGUGCCACAGUAGUGCGCACAAGGGCCCGGCCAUCCUUCUGUAAACGUCGGGGAAGUUUAUUCGUCCGCGGCGGGAUCAGUUAAUUUACCUUGAGAAAAUUAGAGUGUUUCAGGCAGGCGUAGCCGGAAUACAUUAGCAUGGAAUAAUGGAAUAGGACUUAGUCUCUUUGUUGGUUCGAGGGACUGGAGUAAUGAUUAAUAGGGAUAGUUGGGGGCAUUAGUAUUUAUUAGCUAGAGGUGGAAUUCUCUAAUUUGAUAAAGACUAACUUAUGCGAAAGCAUUUGCCAAGGAUGUUUUCAUCA